rnacentral:rRNA from 1 species
UUACGGGAGGCAGCAGUGAGGAAUUUUGCACAAUGGGGGAAACCCUGAUGCAGCGACGCCGCGUGAGUGACGAAGGUCUUCGGAUCGUAAAGCUCUGUCAGCAGGGAAGAAAUGUAUCAUGGCUAAUAUCCAUGGUACUUGACGGUACCUGCAAAGGAAGCACCGGCUAACUCCGUGCCAGCAGCCGCGGUAAUACGGAGGGUGCGAGCGUUGUUCGGAUUUACUGGGCGUAAAGGGCGCGUAGGCGGUUUUAUAAGCCAGAUGUGAAAGCCCACGGCUCAACCGUGGAAGUGCAUCUGGAACUGUAAGACUUGAGUACUGGAGGGGAGUGUGGAAUUCCCGGUGUAGAGGUGAAAUUCGUAGAUAUCGGGAGGAAUACCGGUGGCGAAGGCGACACUCUGGACAGAUACUGACGCUGAGGCGCGAAAGCGUGGGGAGCAAACAGGAUUAGAUACCCCGGUAGU